rnacentral:lncRNA from 12 species
AUGGGUGGCGGAGACAGGCAGGAAGGGUGCCAACAAGCCACAGAGGCCAGAUGUGGGAUGCAUGAGCCGAGUACUGGACCUGUCCAGUCAAUCCUAACCUCCGCCCUGCCUGGCGGGCUCCAAGCCCUCUUCAUGUCCCUCUCUCACCACCUGCAUCUGCUGGGGCUGGAACCAGCUCCUGGGCCCAGAUGCUGGGGGUCUGGGCCCAGCUGCGGGGGCUCUGGACUCAGCCUCACUUCCUGGACUGGACCCUUGCAGGGCAGUUGCCCUCACAGCAAGAGCUACUGCUCCCUCACCAACCCCAGGUCCAGCUUUACCGAGCACCUGCUGUGUGCGGGGCCCCUGCGAGCCGGUGCUGGGGCCAGCUGCUGGGCCGCGCGCCUGUCUUGCCCGGCUGGGUAUUGAUGGAAAACCGAUGAAAAUGGACAGUUCAGAAAAGAACAAAGAAAAUGAAUACCAUCCACGGUCUCUUCCCCCAGAGAGAGUCACUGUUAAUAACUUAAAUAGUUUAAGGUAUGUGGGAUCCCUGGGUGGCUCGGCGGUUUGGCGCCUGCCUGUGGCCCAGGGCGCGACCCUGGAGUCCCGGGAUCGAGUCCCGCCUGGGCUUCCUGCAUGGAGCCUGCUUCUCCCUCCUCCUGUGUCUCUGCCUCUCUCUCUCUAUGUCUAUCAUAAAUAAAUAAAUAAAUAAAUAAAUAAAUAAAUAAAUA